rnacentral:tRNA from 1 species
GGCCGGGUAGCUCAGUUGGUAGAGCAGGGGAUUGAAAAUCCCCGUGUCUGGGGUUCGAUUCCCUCCCCGGCCACCA